GUGGUCAGCCCCGGGCUGCUUGGUCACAUGUGGUUCUGAGGUCCUGACUCGCCAGUUCUGAAAGACUGGCCCGGGGACCCGCCCAUAGACAGGCGGUGUGGAUGUCAGACCUCUCCCGCAGGCCCACCGCGCUGGGGUCCCCACAACGUGACAAGGACGCGCCGCUGGAAGGAGCACAGGGGGCUCCGGAUUAAAUGCCGGGCCUUUAUUGAGUUAACAGUACACUUACUGUAAAAUUCACUUAUUUAAAGUGCGAGGUUCAGUGGUUGUCAGUAUAUUCAGAGUUGUGCAACCGUCCCCUCUAUCGAAUUUCCAUUUACAUCACCCCAGAUGGAAACCCUGUACCCAUCUAGCAGUCAUUCUCCGUCCCAGUCCCUCCAGCCCUAGGUCCACGCUAUUCAGGUUUCCUCAGUUUUAACCUCAUGCCCUCCUGCUGCUCCAGGACCGUCCAAGACCCCACGUGGGACAUUUAGUCAUCACAUUCUCCUCUGGCUGCUCUUGGCCGGGACGGUCUCUCAGACUUUCCUGAUCUGGAGGCUGGAAGUUCGAGAUUAAGGUGCCUGCAGCUUGGUUUCUCCUGAGGCCUCUCUCCUUGGCACUUAGACGGCCAUCUCCUUCCCAAGUCCUCACACGGCCCUUCCUCUAUGCGUUUACUCAGUCCUGAUGUCUCUCUCUCUUCUUAGUGUUUUCAUCUGACUGUUCUUCCAAUGAACCAGCUUUGGGUUUUGUUCAUCUCCGCUCUGCCCUCUCUCUCCCUCCUCCAUUGAUCU